rnacentral:rRNA from 1 species
UACGUAGGCAGCGAGCGUUGUUCGGAGUUACUGGGCGUAAAGGGUGUGUAGGCGGUCCCUUAAGUUUGGUGUGAAAUCUCCCGGCUCAACUGGGAGGGUGCGCCGAAUACUGAAUGACUCGAGUGUGGGAGAGGUGAGUGGAAUUCCUGGUGUAGCGGUGAAAUGCGUAGAUAUCAGGAGGAACACCGGUGGUGUAGACGGCUCACUGGACCAUAACUGACGCUGAGACACGAAAGCGUGGGUAGCAAACAGG